rnacentral:rRNA from 1 species
AAGGGUGCAGGGCGGAUGCCUUGGCACUAGGAGCCGAUGAAGGACGUGAUAAGCUGCGAUAAGCUUCGGGGAGUUGCACGUAAACUUUGAUCCGAAGAUUUCCGAAUGAGGAAACUCACUUAGAGUAAUGUCUAAGUAUCAUUAAGUGAAUACAUAGCUUAAUGAGGGGAACUCAGGGAACUGAAACAUCUAAGUACCUGAAGGAAGAGAAAGAAAUUCGAUUCCGUAAGUAGCGGCGAGCGAACGCGGAUUAGCCCAAACCAAUAAAGUUUUCUUUAUUGGGGUUGCGGACAUAUCAUAACGAAGAGGUAUCGUAAUUGAAGAGGUUUGGAAAGACCCACCACAGAAGGUAAUA